AUUGAACGCUGGCGGCAUGCCUUACACAUGCAAGUCGAACGGCAGCACGGGUGCUUGCCCCUGGUGGCGAGUGGCGAACGGGUGAGUAAUACAUCGGAACAUGUCCUGUAGUGGGGGAUAGCCCGGCGAAAGCCGGAUUAAUACCGCAUACGAUCUACGGAUGACAGCGGGGGACCUUCUGGCCUCGCGCUAUAGGGUUGGCCGAUGGCUGAUUAGCUAGUUGGUGGGGUAAAGGCCUACCAAGGCGACGAUCAGUAGCUGGUCUGAGAGGACGACCAGCCACACUGGGACUGAGACACGGCCCAGACUCCUACGGGAGGCAGCAGUGGGGAAUUUUGGACAAUGGGCGAAAGCCUGAUCCAGCAAUGCCGCGUGUGUGAAGAAGGCCUUCGGGUUGUAAAGCACUUUUGUCCGGAAAGAAAUCCUUGGCUCUAAUACAGUCGGGGGAUGACGGUACCGGCAGAAUAAGCACCGGCUAACUACGUG
rnacentral:rRNA from 1 species